CGGGUUGGGUGGAGGGAGGGGCACCGACCCAGCAGCUGCCGCCGCCUUCUCGUCGGCCGCAAACUUUCACAAAGCGGCGUGUCCGGCCUCAUCAAUCUCCAUUAAUAAUAGUUGGUUGGGCCGCGGGGGGCGGGCGGGGUCCCGGGCCGGCCGGCCGGGCCGCUGGGAACGGGCUCUGCGGAGGGAGCGGAGCCGGGCGCGGCGGCGGCGGGCGGAGGGAGGAAGUGAAGCGUAAUUUGAGGAAGAUGGAUGAGUCCGGAGGGCGACACCCCCAGCCCGCCCGCUCGCCCGCCCCCUCCCUCCUUAUGAGAGCGAGGGAGCGCGGCGCCGGAGCCACACUGCGCCGAGCCCGCGCCCCGCCGCCACCUCGGCCCGGGAGCCUGGGAGCGAGCCCUGCGUGUCCGCGCGGGGCGCCCGAGCCGCGGGGCGCACGGCGGCGUCCGGAGGGGAGCGCCCCGGGGCGGCCGUAGCUCCGGGCACGAUGCAGAGAGCCGGAGGCGGGGGUGCCCCCGGGGGCAGCGGCGGGGGCAGCGGCGGGGGCCCGGGCACUGCCUUCUCCAUUGACUCCCUGAUCGGGCCACCGCCGCCUCGCUCCGGCCACUUGCUCUACACCGGCUAUCCCAUGUUCAUGCCCUACCGGCCGCUGGUGCUGCCGCAGGCGCUGGCCCCUGCGCCGCUGCCUGCCGGCCUCCCGCCUCUCGCCCCACUAGCCUCCUUUGCCGGCCGCCUUACCAACACGUUCUGCGCGGGACUGGGCCAGGCCGUGCCCUCGAUGGUGGCGCUGACCACCGCGCUGCCCAGCUUCGCGGAGCCGCCCGACGCCUUCUACGGGCCCCAGGAGCUCGCCGCCGCCGCCGCCGCCGCCGCCACUGCCGCCCGAAACAACCCCGAGCCGGGUGGCCGACGCCCCGAGGGUGGGCUGGAAGCCGAGGAGCUGAUGCCCGCCCGGGAGAAAGUGGCAGAGCCCCCACCGCCCCCGCCUCCGCACUUCUCAGAGACUUUCCCAAGUCUGCCGGCAGAGGGGAAGGUGUACAGCUCAGAUGAGGAGAAGCUGGAGGCACCAGCAGGAGACCCGGCAGGCAGCGAACAGGAGGAGGAGGGCUCAGGCGGUGACAGCGAGGACGACGGUUUCCUGGACAGUUCUGCAGGGGGCCCAGGGGCUCUCCUGGGACCUAAACCGAAGCUAAAGGGAAGCCUGGGGACUGGAGCUGAGGAGGGGGCACCAGUGGCAGCUGGAGUCACAGCUCCUGGGGGCAAAAGCCGACGGCGCCGCACGGCAUUUACCAGUGAGCAGCUUUUGGAAUUGGAGAAGGAGUUCCACUGCAAGAAAUACCUGAGCUUGACAGAGCGUUCCCAGAUCGCGCACGCCCUCAAGCUCAGUGAGGUGCAGGUCAAGAUCUGGUUUCAGAAUCGGCGGGCCAAGUGGAAGCGCAUCAAAGCUGGCAACGUGAGCAGCCGUUCCGGGGAGCCCGUGAGAAACCCCAAGAUUGUUGUCCCCAUACCUGUGCAUGUCAACAGGUUUGCUGUACGGAGCCAGCACCAACAAAUGGAACAGGGCGCCCGGCCCUGAAGGGGCUCCCAAGGAUCCUGGAAGGCAGCCGAUCUGUCCCCGAGCCUGCUCUGAGACUGGGUUAGGGUUCUGCGGACCAGCGGGGCUGCUGCUACGAAGCUGCCCUGGGAGAGGGCUCCGUCGGCAACUAACUUAGCGCUAGAAGGGCUACUAUCCUGUACCAACUGUGGAGCGGGGCUGCACAGACACGCCUGCACAGACAUUGGGGAAAGAGGAUUAUUACAGAAACCAGCUGAAGUUGGGAUCAUGGUAAGCGGGGCUUCUUGGGAAGAAACCUGACCUGCACUGAUCUGGGAGGACAGCUAGGGGAGAGAACAGAGCUGCCGAGAAGAAAAACGGGCAGAGCGAGGAGCGAGGCUAGGACGCUCAGAAGGUCAAGGUCAGGGAGGGAAAUACAAGCUCAAAUACCUGGCCGGCCCCCUCAGCUUCCUUAGAAAACUGCUGCUACUCCUGAUUCCUAGGACGGCAGACCAACCAGUAUUCACUCAAACAUCUACUGAACGCCUCGUAUGAUGAAGACAGGCUUUCCUUGGCAGUUCCUUUCUCCUAGCUGGUUUUGGCAACCAAACAGCAAGCCGGGGCUGUGACCGGUUAUUCGCAACAGGGUCACGGUUCCCCAGCUCGGAUGCAGGGGUCCAGGCUGCUAUUUGGCUAAAAUCCAGCAAGGCUUGAAAGUUAGGUUAAAAAAAAGUAGUCCGGACCAGCCCCAUUCCUGAUCUAGAUUGAGGCUGUCUCUGCCCACGAAGGGAACCUAUGAGAUUAGAUGCUUUUUAGGGGCCAGGCCAGGCAGUGGUUGAGGAUCACAGGAGCUAUUGUCACUUUGGCUGUCGGGAAUUCAUGUCCACAGGUCUAGGGCUAGAGCAGACGUUCUCUGGUGUCGUGCCUGAGGGAAGGAGGCUCGGGGGGAAACCAAGGCCCUGAUUUGCCAUUUUUUUCUGGAUUUACUAUGAAGCCUCCUAAACUAUACUGGACAGUACUCAGCCAGUUAAGCAGCUUGUUUUCCUUAGGGAAAAUAAGAAAGUUGAUUAUUGCUAGUAUGUUUCUGAGCCCAGGAGCCCCUUCUUAUACAUACCAAAGGCCCUAUUUCUGUUCUACCCUGAUCUUUGCCUGAGGCUCUUAUCAGCCUUGCAAAAGGGCUGCGGACCAAGAAAAUACAAUCUGGUUUAUUCUCUGAACAGCAUUUACUUAGCAUUUGCUUAGUUAUCUACCUGCACUUAGAUGGGCUCCCAUCAGAGUGCCAGCCACCCCCCCCCCCCCCCCCCCCCCCAGUGUACACUCAUUAAGUGUUGGAGAAAGACGGGGCCACCAGCAAAGCGGUUGUAGGGAUAGGAAAAUGGGCUCCUUGGAGAGCAGGGACCUUAACUUUGCAAGUUUUCAUCCUUCAAGAAUAGGUAUAGAGGGGUUUCCCUCAGGUCUUUCUAGGAUGAGGGAUAGAGGGAGAAACAGGAACUCAGGAUCCUGCCCCCAGCUUGGCAGGAUGUUGGUGGGAAUCCAGGUGGUGGUUCUGCCAUCAGUGACCUACCUCCUCGCCUCUCCUCAAAAGCAAAGCCGAGGCCUGAGUCCCGGCGGCAGUGCUGCCCUAGUAAAGUCCAGCCACUUGCCCUUGUGGCUUCCUCAGAACUCUUCUCCUGCGCCUUGAGCGUCUCCCCGUAGGUCUGGCUGUGUGAGCGACUUCCCAGACUCUUAGGAAAGAGGACGACGCUUCUGUCCUCCUUCUGGGUGCACUUUGGCCAGCACCAGGUGUGGCAUGAGGUUACUGGAGACCAGCCGGAAAACCUUUCCGAGGGUAGGGGUGGGGUAUGUGAGGAGGGGAAGCAGCAGAAAGCUUCCAGUAGGAAGCACAAAGCUCCGUACCUCCUUUCGGGGUUCGAAGCCAGUGCUACCCACAAACUCAACUACGCUGCUGGCAGGAAAGGGCCAAAGGAAACGCAUGUAGUGGCCUGAGCAGAGACCUCAGG